UACGGAGGGUGCAAGCGUUAUCCGGAUUUACUGGGUUUAAAGGGUGUGUAGGCGGGUCUUUAAGUCAGUGGUGAAAUCUCCGAGCUCAACUUGGAAACUGCCAUUGAUACUAUUGAUCUUUGAAUUUUGUUUGAGGUAGGCGGAAUAAGUCAUGUAGCGGUGAAAUGCAUAGAUAUGACUUAGAACACCAAUUGCGAAGGCAGCUUACUAAGCAAAACAUUGACGCUGAGGCACGAAAGCGUGGGGAUCAAACAGG
rnacentral:rRNA from 1 species